rnacentral:rRNA from 1 species
AACGAACGCUGGCGGCAGGCUUAACACAUGCAAGUCGAACGCCCCGCAAGGGGAGUGGCAGACGGGUGAGUAACGCGUGGGAACGUACCUUUCAGUUCGGAAUAACUCAGGGAAACUUGUGCUAAUACCGGAUACGCCCGCAAGGGGAAAGAUUUAUCGCUGAAAGAUCGGCCCGCGUUGGAUUAGCUAGUUGGUGGGGUAAAGGCCUACCAAGGCGACGAUCCAUAGCUGGUCUGAGAGGAUGAUCAGCCACACUGGGACUGAGACACGGCCCAGACUCCUACGGGAGGCAGCAGUGGGGAAUAUUGGACAAUGGGCGCAAGCCUGAUCCAGCCAUGCCGCGUGUGUGAUGAAGGCCUUAGGGUUGUAAAGCACUUUCACCGAUGAAGAUAAUGACGGUAGUCGGAGAAGAAGCCCCGGCUAAACUUCGUG